GUCGAACGCUGGCGGCGUGCUUAACACAUGCAAGUCGAACGAAGUGGCGAACGGGUGAGUAACGCGUAAUCAACCUGCACGUCAGAGGGGGACAACAGUUGGAAACGACUGCUACUACCGCAUACUGAAGGAGGGGAUUGCGUCUGACUAGCUAGUUGGGGGGGCAACGGUCCACCAGGGCGAUGAUCAGUAGACGGUCGGGGAGGAUGAGAGGCCACAUUGGGACUGAGACACGGCCCAGACUCCUACGGUAUGUAGCAGUGGGGAAUCUUGCGAAAUGGACGAAAGUCUGACGGAGCAACGCCGCGUGAGUGAUGACGGCCUUCGGGUUGUAAGGCUCUGUUAAUCGGGAAGCGGUACCGGAAUAGAAAGCCACGGCUAAAUACGUGCCAGCAGCCGCGGUAAUUC
rnacentral:rRNA from 1 species